rnacentral:rRNA from 1 species
CGAUGCAGCAAUGCCGCGUGAGCGAAGAAGGCCUUCGGGUUGUAAAGCUCUUUUCUGGGUGACGAGGAAGGGACGGUAGCCCAGGAAUAAGUCCCGGCUAACAGGGUGCCAGCAGCCGCGGUGAUACCUUGGGGACGAGCGUUAUCCGGAAUCAUUGGGCGUAAAGCGCAUGUAGGCGGUUUGGCAAGUUGGUUGUGAAAGCUCACGGCUUAACUGUGAGAGGCCAGCCAAAACUGCCAGACUUGAGCGGGGUAGAGGAGAGCGGAAUUCCCGGUGUAGUGGUGGAAUGCGUAGAGAUCGGGAGGAACACCAGUGGCGAAAGCGGCUCUCUGGACCUUAGCUGACGCUGAGAUGCGAAAGCGUGGGGAGCGAACGGGAUUAGAUACCCCGGUAGUCCACGCGGUAAACGAUGGAUACUAGGUGUAGCGAGUGAUUGAUCUUGCUGUGCCACAGCCAACGCGCUAAGUAUCCCGCCUGGGGAGUACGGCCGCAAGGCUA